rnacentral:tRNA from 1 species
CAGAAUAUAGCUUAGACAGACUAGCAUCUCCCUUACACCGAGAAGACAUCCGUGCGAAUCGGAUUAUUCUGA